rnacentral:rRNA from 1 species
GACGGAGGGUGCGAGCGUUAAUCGGAGUUACUGGGCGUAAAGCGCAUGUGGGCGGCCGAACAAGUCAGGUGUGAAAUCCUCGGGCUUAACCUGGGAAGUGCACUUGAUACUGUCCGGCUAGAGUUUGGCAGAGGAAAGUAGAAUUCCCGGUGUAGCGGUGAAAUGCGUAGAUAUCGGGAGGAAUACCAGUGGCGAAGGCGGCUUUCUGGGCCAAUACUGACGCUGAGGUGCGAACGCGUGGGGAGCAAACAGG